ACGUAGGGUGCAAGCGUUAAUCGGAAUUACUGGGCGUAAAGCGUGCGCAGGCGGUUAUGCAAGACAGAUGUGAAAUCCCCGGGCUUAACCUGGGAACUGCAUUUGUGACUGCAUAGCUAGAGUACGGUAGAGGGGGAUGGAAUUCCCGGUGUAGAGGUGAAAUUCGUAGAUAUCGGGAGGAACACCAGUGGCGAAGGCGGCGAUCUGGGCAGAUACUGACGCUGAGGUGCGAAAGCGUGGGGAGCAAACAGGA
rnacentral:rRNA from 1 species